UAAUAACUUAGUUUAUUUAAUAAAAUUAAUACCUUGAAAGUAUUAGUAAGAGAAAUAUCUCUAGUUAUU
rnacentral:tRNA from 1 species